rnacentral:rRNA from 1 species
UACGGAGGGAGCUAGCGUUGUUCGGAAUUACUGGGCGUAAAGCGCGCGUAGGCGGCAACUCAAGUCAGGGGUGAAAUCCCGAGGCUCAACCUCGGAACUGCCUUUGAAACUGAGUAGCUAGAAUCCUGGAGAGGCGAGUGGAAUUCCGAGUGUAGAGGUGAAAUUCGUAGAUAUUCGGAAGAACACCAGUGGCGAAGGCGACUCGCUGGACAGGUAUUGACGCUGAGGUGCGAAAGCGUGGGGAGCAAAC